rnacentral:lncRNA from 1 species
UUGUUUAGGAUUUGAUUUAGGAUUUAGGAUUUGAUUAGGGUUUAGUUUAGGAUUUAAGAUUUGAUUUAGGGUUUAGUUAGGAUUUUAUUUAGGGUUUGGAUUAGGAUUUGGUUUAGGAUUUAGGAUUUGGAUUAGGAUUUGGUUAGGAUUUGAUUUAGGAUUUGGUUAGGAUUUGAUUUAGGAUUUGGUUAGGAUUUGAUUUAGGAUUUGGUUAGGAUUUGGUUUAGAAUUUUGUUGGAAUUUGAUUUAAGAUUUGUUUAGGAUUUGAUUUAGGGUUUGAUUUAGGAUUUGGAUUAGAGUUUUAUUUAGGAUUUGGAUUAGGGUUUGAUUUAGGAUGUAGGAUUUGGAUUAGGAUUUGAUUAGGAUUUGGUUUAGGGUUUGGUUAGGAUUUGGUUUAGGAUUUGAUUGGUGUUUGGUUUAAGGUUUGUUUAGGGUUUGAUUUAGGAUUUAGGAUUUUAUUAGGAUUUAAGAUUCAAUUAGUUUUGGCCUAAAGUUUGAAUGAAGUUCAAUAGGAUUUUAACUAGAAUUAAAUUAAGAUUGAAUUGAGAUGUAUUUGAGUGAUAUUUGUGAUCCUUCUAAUAUUUCCUUAAGAAUUCUUAUUAUUUGUUUGAAAUUUCUUU